rnacentral:tRNA from 1 species
GGGGCCGUAGCUCAGUUUGGUUAGAGCGCUGCACUGUCACUGCAGAGGUCGCGGGUUCAAGUCCCGUCGGCCCCGCCA